AUGUGUGUGUGUGUUCGCUCGUUCGCUUGCUCUCUCACUCGCUCGCUUGUCAGCGUCAUGUGCCCAGCAGGGCAGCCCCAGACUGGUUCCCGGCGGCCGUAUUAAGGUCACACUCUCACCGUGCAGCCCCACACAGCCUAGCCUAGCCCGGCCCGGCGCGGCGCGCCGCGGCGCAGCGCAGCGCUGCCCAGCCCAGCUCAACCCGGCUCAGCCCAGAGCGGCGCAUCGCUGCGCAGCGCGGCUCAGUCCUCCCUUAGUCCCCCCCUUCUCCCCCCAGGAGCUUUGAUCGCUCCCCUCUGCUCAGCUCAGCUCUGCUUCUCUCCCUUCCCCGAGCCGGCGCCCCGGCGGUGACUCAGAGCUCUCCAGGUCUGGAAAUAUGGAUCAUGAUCAUAUCAACUCUGCCUUUGAUGAGGGGUGUCUGCUCAUCCUUUACACCCAAGGAUCUUGCCAGAAACUUUUUGGACCAAAGAGCCCCUCCUUGGCCAUCCCUCGAAGGUGGCACAGUGGGUGGCUCUGGGAUUUGGAAACAGGAAAACACUCUGAAUUCUGUCAUACAUUCUCUAGCUGGAUAAUCCUGGGCAAGUCAUGUAUCCUGGCUCUCUGUGUCCUCAUCUGUAACCUACCUUACUGGAUUGUUGUGAAAUCCUGAUUAGAUAACUUAUCUAAAGUGCUUUGCAAACCUGAAAGAGUUUUAUGUGUGUUAGCUGUUAAUAUUGGUGCCCCUAGUGCUUCUGAUAUUGGAGUGUAGUUUCCUUGAAGGCAGGAACAGUCCUUGGUUUUGUAUUUAUAUUCCUGGCACCCAGUGCAGUGCUUGGCACAUAAUAAACAUUAAAUAAAUGCUUUUUCAUUCAUGUAUUCA